rnacentral:tRNA from 1 species
GCCUUCAUGGCAUAACGGUUAGCACACUUGGCACAUAUUCAAGAGAUCCAGGUUCGAGUCCUGGCGAGGGCA